GACGAACGCUGGCGGCGUGCUUAACACAUGCAAGUCGAACGGAAAGGCCCUGCUUUUGUGGGGUGCUCGAGUGGCGAACGGGUGAGUAACACGUGAGUAACCUGCCCUUGACUUUGGGAUAACUUCAGGAAACUGGGGCUAAUACCGGAUAGGAGCUCCUGCUGCAUGGUGGGGGUUGGAAAGUUUCGGCGGUUGGGGAUGGACUCGCGGCUUAUCAGCUUGUUGGUGGGGUAGUGGCUUACCAAGGCUUUGACGGGUAGCCGGCCUGGGAGGGUGACCGGGCACAGUGGGACUGGGAUAGGGCCCAGACCCCGACGGGGGGGAGCGGGAGGAAAUGUUGCUCAAGGGGAGGAAGCCUGAUGCAGAAGCGGCGCGGGCGGGAUGACGGGCUUCGGGUUGUAAACCGCUUUCGCCUGGGACGAGGCGAGAGUGACGGUAAUGGGUAAAGAAGCACCGGCUAACUACGUG
rnacentral:rRNA from 1 species